rnacentral:rRNA from 1 species
CGUAGGUGGCAAGCGUUGUCCGGAUUUAUUGGGUUUAAAGGGUGCGUAGGCGGUUCCAUAAGUCAGUGGUGAAAUACGGCAGCUCAACUGUCGAGGUGCCAUUGAUACUGCGGAACUUGAGUACUGAUGAGGUAGGCGGAAUUGACGGUGUAGCGGUGAAAUGCUUAGAUAUCGUCAAGAACACCGAUAGCAAAGGCAGCUUACCAAGCAGUAACUGACGCUGAGGCACGAAAGUGCGGGGAUCAAACAGGAUUAGAUACCCUGGUAGUCCGCACAGUAAACGAUGAUUACUCGAUGUUGGCGAUACACAGCCAGCGUCUUAGCGAAAGCGAUAAGUAAUCCACCUGGGGAGUACGCCCGCAAGGGUG